UACGUAGGGUGCGAGCGUUGUCCGGAAUUAUUGGGCGUAAAGAGCUCGUAGGCGGCUUGUCGCGUCGGCCGUGAAAAACCUGGGGCUCAACUCUGGGCGUGCGGUCGAUACGGGCAUCACUGGAGUUCGGCAGGGGAGACUGGAAUUCCUGGUGUAGCGGUGAAAUGCGCAGAUAUCAGGGAGGAACACCGGUGGGCGAAGGCGGGGUCUCUGG
rnacentral:rRNA from 1 species